GAACUUUAUUAUAUUUAUAGUUGUACAAUGAUCAUCACAACCCAAUUUUGUAGCAUGUCCGUCCCCAAACCCCAGCCCAUCCACCAACCCCCCAAACUGUCUCAUUUGGAAAACAAGUUUUUCAAAGUCUGUGAGUCAGUAGUAUCUGCUCUGCAAAGAAGUUAGUCAUGUCCUUUUUUUAGAUUCUACAUGCAAGUGAUAGCAUAUGAUGUUGAUGUCUCACUGUCUGACUGAUUUCAGUUAGCAUGAUAGCUUCCAGGUCCAUCCAUAUUGCUGCACAUGAUGUCAAUUCUUUACUUUUAAUGGCUGAGUAAUAUUUCAUUGUGUACAUGUACCACAUCUUCUUUAUCCACCCUUCUGUCAAUGGACAUUUAUUUAGGUUGUUUCCAUGUCUUGGCUAUUGUAUAGAGUACUGCAGUGAACAUUGGAGUACAUAUAUCUUUUCGAGUAAUGGUUUUCUCUGGAUAGAUGCCCAGGAGUGGGAUUGCUGGAUCAAAUGGUAAUUCUAUUUUUAGUUUUCUGAGGAAUCUCCAUACUGUUUGUCACAGUGGUUGCACCAAAUUACAUUCCCACCAACAGUGUAAUAAGGUUCCCAGGCUAGGAGUCAAAUUAGAGCUACAACUGCCGGCCUGCGCCACAGCCACAGCAACACAGGAUCCGAGCCGUGUCUGCAGCCACAGCCAGAUCCUUAACCCACUGAGCAAGGCCAGGGAUCGAACCCGCAACCUCAUGGUUCCUAGUCAGAUUCAUUUCCACUGCACCAUGACAGGAACUCCACAAACCCCAAUUUUUUAAUGUACACUUUAUUUAUUAAAAUGUUAUUAGUAGACUUUUAAUGUUCUGUUAAUUUCAGGUAUACAGCAAAGUGAAUCAGUUAUUCAUAUAUCCAUUCCUUUUCAGAUUCUUUUCCCAUAGAUGUUAUUACAGAAUGUUGAGUAGAUUCCCCUGUGCUCUACAGUAGGUCCUUGUUAUUUAUUUUAUAUAGUAGUGUGUAUAUGUCAAUUCCAACCUCCUAAUUUACCCCUCCCUGUAACAUUUCCCCUUUGGUAAUCAUAAGUUUGGUUUUGAAAUCUUUGAGUCUGUUCUGUUUUUGUGAAUAAGUUUUUAUGUAUCAUUUUUUAUUAGCUUCUACAUGGUAGUGAUCUCAUGUGAUACUUGUCUUUAUCUGACUUUGCUUAGUAUGUUAAUUUCUAGGUCCAUUCAUGUUGUUGCAAAUGGCAUUAUUUCAUCUUUUUUGUGGCCGGUAAUAUUUUAUUGUAUAUAUGUACCACAUCCUCUUUAUCCAUUCCUCUCUUGAUGGACGCAGGUUGCUUCCAUGUCUUGGCUAAUGUAAAUAGUGCUGCAGUGAACAUUGGAAUGCACGUAUCUUUUCAAAUUAUGGUUUUCUCCAGAUAUAUGCCCAGCAGUGGGAUUGCUGGAUCACAUGGUAGUUAUAUAUUUAGGGUUUUUUUUUUUUUAAUUCAUGUGUUUGUUUUUUUAAGUUUUAUUGAGGUAUAGUUAAUUUACAAGUUUGUGAAAAUUUCUACUGUAUGACAAAGUGACCCAGUCAUGCACAUAUCCAUUCUCUCAGAUUCUUUUCCCACAUAGAUUAUCACAGAAUACUAGGUAGAGUUCUCUGUGCUAUACAGCAGAUCCCUGUUGGCCAGUCAUUCUGUAUACUUCCGUGUGCACAUGCCAGUCCUAAGCCUCCAGUCCAUUUCUCCCACCCCCGCAACCUGUCUCCUUUGGUAACCAUGAGUUGUUCAAGUCUGUGGGUCUGUUUCUGUUCUGCAAAUAAGUUCAUUUGUAUCCUUUUUUUAGAUUCCACAUAUAGGUGAGGUGAUGUUUGUUCUUCACUGUCUGACUAACUUCCCUUGAGUUUCUAGGUCCAUCCGUGUUGCUGCAAAUGGCAUUAUUUCAUUCUUUUUAUGCUGAAUAAUAUUCCAUUGUAUAUGUACCACAUCUUUAUCCAUUCCUCUGUCGAUGAACAUUUAGGUUGCUUCCAUGUCUUAGCUAUUGUAAACAGUGCUUCAAUGAACAUUUGGGUGCAUAUAUCUUUUUGAAUGAUGGUUUUCUCUGGAUAGAUGCCUAGGAGUGGGAUUGCUGGAUCAUAUGGUAGUUCUAUUUUUAGUUUUUUGAGGACCUCCAUACUGUUUUCCAUAGUAGUUGCACCAAUGUGCAUUCCCACCAACAGUGUAAAAAAAGAGAGAGGACUCAAAUCAAUUAAAUUAGAAAUGAAAAAGAAGUUACAGCAGACAUCACAGAAAUACAAAGGAUCAUAAGAGACUACUACAAGAAGCUAUAUGCUAAUAAAAAUGGACAACUUCGAAGAAAUGGACGAAUUUUUAGAAAGGUACAAUCUUCCAAGAAUAAACCAGGAAGAAAUAGAAAAGAUGCAUGGACCAAUCACAAGUACUGAAAUUGAAGCUGUGAUUAAAGAACUUCCAACAAACAAAAGUCCAGGACCAGAUGGCUUCACAGGCGAAUUCUAUCAAAAAUUUAGAGAAGAGUUAACACCUAUCCUGAAACUAUUCCAAAAAAUGGCAGAGGAAGGAACACUCUAUAUUUAGUUUUUUUUAAGGAAUCUCCAAACUGUUCUCCAUAGUUCCAAACCCCAGUUGUAAGUAAUGUGAGUGAUAUAGAAAUUGCGUUUCUUCUUAAAUCUUACCCUUCAGGGUGUUCCCUUGUGGCGCAGCAUGUUAAGGAUCUGGUGUUGUCGCUGCAGCAGCUCAGGAUGCUCUUGUGGCACAGGUUCAGUCCCUGGCCUGGGAACAUCUAUAUGCUAUGAGAACGGCAAAAAAAAAAAAAAAAAAAAAAAAAAAAAAAA
rnacentral:lncRNA from 1 species